rnacentral:rRNA from 1 species
AUGCAGUCGAGCGGGGGAGGUAGCUUGCUACCGGACCUAGCGGCGGACGGGUGAGUAAUGCUUAGGAAUCUGCCUAUUAGUGGGGGACAACAUCUCGAAAGGGAUGCUAAUACCGCAUACGUCCUACGGGAGAAAGCAGGGGAUCUUCGGACCUUGCGCUAAUAGAUGAGCCUAAGUCGGAUUAGCUAGUUGGUGGGGUAAAGGCCUACCAAGGCGACGAUCUGUAGCGGGUCUGAGAGGAUGAUCCGCCACACUGGGACUGAGACACGGCCCAGACUCCUACGGGAGGCAGCAGUGGGGAAUAUUGGACAAUGGGGGGAACCCUGAUCCAGCCAUGCCGCGUGUGUGAAGAAGGCCUUAUGGUUGUAAAGCACUUUAAGCGAGGAGGAGGCUACUUUAGUUAAUACCUAGAGAUAGUGGACGUUACUCGCAGAAUAAGCACCGGCUAACUCUGUGCCAGCAGCCGCGGUAAUACAGAGGGUGCGAGCGUUAAUCGGAUUUACUGGGCGUAAAGCGUGCGUAGGCGGCUUAUUAAGUCGGAUGUGAAAUCCCCGAGCUUAACUUGGGAAUUGCAUUCGAUACUGGUGAGCUAGAGUAUGGGAGAGGAUGGUAGAAUUCCAGGUGUAGCGGUGAAAUGCGUAGAGAUCUGGAGGAAUACCGAUGGCGAAGGCAGCCAUCUGGCCUAAUACUGACGCUGAGGUACGAAAGCAUGGGGAGCAAACAGGAUUAGAUACCCUGGUAGUCCAUGCCGUAAACGAUGUCUACUAGCCGUUGGGGCCUUUGAGGCUUUAGUGGCGCAGCUAACGCGAUAAGUAGACCGCCUGGGGGAGUACGGUCGCAAGACUAAAACUCAAAUGAAUUGACGGGGGCCCGCACAAGCGGUGGAGCAUGUGGUUUAAUUCGAUGCAACGCGAAGAACCUUACCUGGCCUUGACAUACUAGAAACUUUCCA